rnacentral:lncRNA from 1 species
UCACUUCCACAACAGCCACAAACUUUAAUAUUUUGAUCCCCCUUAUUUGUAUAAUUUUGUAUCAUUUUCAUCUCCCUAUUAUUAGGUACAUAAACUCUUUUUAUCAUCAAGUAAAGGAAAUUUUUAAUGACAUAUAGCACUAAGAUGGUGCUGUAAUUUGUACAUCUAAAAGGCAAAAGUAUAUCCCCUUCGAGUUGUAUAUGGAAUCUAUGUAAUCCACCAAGGUUUCAGCAUCAUGUAGAUAUUCCACUUUACAUCUCUCUUCCUUAACUGACAUAGGAAAUAGUGACAUACAUUUGUUAGUAGUGAGUCUAGCACCCUGUUUAUAAGGACUAGCCAUCUAGCCCCGCUCCAAAAGAUAGGUUUGUCGAGUCUGCCAUUCUUCUUUCAGAUUUUUUCACCAUCCCCAGCCAUAUACUGCCUUCUACCAUUUUUUGCUGUUCUGUUACACUCCCCAUUUAUUGGUCUAUUUGGCAAAAUGUUUAAUUGAGCUUGAAACAUUGUUGACCUAAUAUAUGAAUAUUUCACCCACCUGCUUGCGAGGUGUGGGUGAGCUGGAGGAUUUUUGAGGUUGUGAAUGGUAAGGAUAGUAACAUACUAAAAAAAUGACAUCUCUAGUCCCUAAUAUCUCAAACCAGUUAAACUUGACUUAAAAAUAACAUCUAGGAGAUACCAAAAAAUUCAAGGUGGUCCAUUAGAUUGUAAUAAAUACCAAUAAAUCGGCAAAAACUUCUAAGACGUCAUCUAAGGAUUAUCUGGCCAUCUAAAUAAAUGGUUGAAAAAUUCUUCAUAUGAUGCAAAAUUCAAAAGCUGUCUAAUAGAGGGGCU